UUAAAUUGAAGAGUUUGAUCAUGGCUCAGAUUGAACGCUGGCGGCAGGCCUAACACAUGCAAGUCGAACGGUAACAGAAAGC
rnacentral:rRNA from 3 species